rnacentral:rRNA from 1 species
UGAGGAAUAUUGGGCAAUGCCCGCAAGGGUGACCCAGCAACGCCGCGUGGAGGAUGAAUGUCGUAAGAUUGUAAACUCCUGUUAGAGGGGAAGAAUAGUACCGGUUGGACCGGUAUAUGACUGUACCCUCAGAGAAAGCCCCGGCUAACUACGUGCCAGCAGCCGCGGUAAUACGUAGGGGGCAAGCGUUGUCCGGAUUUACUGGGUGUAAAGGGCGCGCAGGCGGGAUAAAAAGUCAGUGGUGAAAUCCUACAGCUUAACUGUGGAACUGCCUUUGAUACUUUUAUUCUUGAGUUCGGGAGAGAGAGACGGAAUUCCAGGUGUAGUGGUGAAAUACGUAGAUAUCUGGAAGAACACCAGUUGCGAAGGCGGUCUCUUGGUCCGACACUGACGCUGAGGCGCGAAAGCGUGGGGAGCAAACA